GGGGCUAUAGCUCAGUGGUAGAGCGCUUGUCUAGCAUGCAUGAGGCACUGGGUUUGAUCCUCAGCAGCACAU
rnacentral:tRNA from 1 species